UCAAAAAAAAAUCAUUAUACUUGAAUGAUAAGGCUCCUACAGUUAAUUAUUGAUUAACAAUUACUCCUAUGAGGGGUCAGUCGACCCACAAAUACAUGUAUCAGAAGAGCCCAUUUAGGUGUAGGGGGCAACAGAGCAGUUCAAACCUGUUGAAAUUAUUUCUUUAAUUAAUUAACAAGCCUUUAUUCUAAGCUUAGGUUUUGGGGAAAGCAGUCAGUUCUUGACCUGGAUGACAACAGCUGGAUGGAGUAUAUUGUUUUGAUCUAUUAGGACUGGGUGGUAAAGUUUGAGAGGAUGUGAUAUUUUUAGUAAGAUACUAUAUUUAUCUUUAAAUGUUUCUAUCUAUUUAUUGUUCUUGUUUCACUGAGUUGUAAGAAACUGAUCCGGUUAAAUACAGAGUUCACUUGUGCAUCAAGGCCUGUUACCUGAUAAUAUUUACCCUAUUUGUUGUUGUUUAUCCUAUUUUUUUUUGUUGCUUAUGGCUUACUGCUUAUAGCUUCUCAGCAGUGUCUAGAGUUUGGAUAUAGUGGAAGGAACUCAUUUGCUAUCUUAUCCUUAAUGUGGUAUUUUAUUUCUGUGAAUGAAAAGUGCCAGGUACUAUUUCAAGAGAAGUGGAUGUAACAGAACUUGAAAAUUACUGAGAGGAGAGAGGACGACUUCUUCCUAUCAUACUGCCUAUUCCUUUUCCACCCCUAUGGAAUAAAACCAGAAAGGACUGGACUUCAGCUCUGUGAAUCUGCUUCGCUGGCAUUUGUGGAACAUAAUGUAGACGUGGUUUCAUCUUUUCUUGGUUUAAAAAGAAACCACCAUGUAGUUAGGAUGCUUUGUCUUUUUCUUCUGGUGCUGAAAAAAAAAAUAAUCCUUUUUCUGGCUACAGGAGUGUGCGAUAGCGGAGAUGGAGAGACAGAGAAGUGUGCAGGGACGAGCAGCAGCAGGGAGAUGCAUUCAGGAUAGGUCCUGCCGACCAACCCCCUUUCAACAGCAGCACAUCAGACCUGAACUAAACUUGUUAGAUCUCUCAUGAAAGGAUUAAAUGCAGUAUUAAAUAAUACAUCAUACCACAGCAGCGAGAGGAGGCAGAGAGGCACAUUUCAGAUAUGUAAGUUGAAGAUGCAUGGUAGAGAUCACUUUGAUCUCGAUUCUGUUUGAUACAGUAAUUCCUGCACUCUGCCUGCCUUUAUGCAGAGAAAAAGUUGUACUGUCAGAAGCGUUAACUGUUGGGUGAGACAAAGAGCCUUUCUGUUCUCUUAAGAUCAGCCUGAUGGUAAUUUGUGUAACGUAAGGUUCCCACUGUGCUCCCCUCACCCUGACGGCCCUGGGCAGGUCUACAUGGUUUGAAAUGCAGUGCAGCGCCCUGUUUUGUUGUCAAAAAAUGGUGGAAAAAAAAGAGGAUGAGGAUUUGGGAGAAGUCUUUUAAGAAAAGAAUCAAAGAAUUUAAAGUUUUGGACCCUAAGAUUGCACAGAAUCUGUCAAUUUUCCUUCGCUCUUUCCGAGUGCCUGAUAAGGAAAUCAAAAUGGUGAUAGUGGAAGCAGACGAAACACAGCUGUAGAGUCCAUGAUUCAGAACUUGAUCAGACCCUGCUCUGAUGUGGCUGGGGAUGCAAACGGACACUUGUUUUGUGGCAAGAGUGCGCCAAGGGGCUCCUGCUCCAACAUGCUGGUGGGAUUCCUGCUUUGGUGCAAGGUAAAGUUGCUGAAGAGACAAAAGGAUCAGUCUGAGCACUUCAGCCUUCUAACUCAGUCUGAUCCAGAGAAGCUGGAACCUGGGGAAACACUAGCUGUCCAUUUCAAAAUUAGUUACCAGGCCAGUUAGUUGCUCAAAUGACGAACACUAACUGUGCUUUGGCUGUCACUGCCACUCUAAGUGGUUGUCUGUGUCCAGCCCAUGCCAGCUCUCUGCUCCUGACCCUGCCUGUCAGCAUCCCAUUGUACAGGGAAAGUGCAUGUCAAGGCCGCCUUAAAACAAAAAAUCACGCUUCAUUUGCAGGAACCCCUUUGCUUUCAAAUGGAUUAUUGAUGAUAAUAGUAAAAGGGAAAUAAUCUGACAUGAAGUGUGCAAUUGCUCUCCAGUUAAGCAUCGUUCCUUGUUUUGGAGGCAUUCAGAGCCUGAAAAGGCCCAAGGAAAAUUUUAUGUGACACAGACACUGUAAAAUAGCAGACCAGAAUUUGAGAACAAGAGUUUGAAAGUUUUUUUGGUUUUGUUUUUUUCCAAAUGCUACAGCCUUCAUUGAGGCACGGCUGGAAGGGGAGGCAGGUACACAUUAAAGCAAGAGAAGCAAAAGGAAGGAGGUGCCUGAAUGCUCUGUCAGGUGAUGGCUGUGGUGCUGCAGCUUGUUUUUUGGCUUUCUUAUUUUCGUCUCCUCCGUGGCCAUGUUGCAGCUCUGAUGUGGUUUUUUAUGCCAGAUCUACUUGGUAACUUGGGCACAGCCCUGUGUAAUACAAGAGCCCACAAAGCUGUCAGCUUUCAACGAUGUUUCUCUUUUGUUUAGAGUUCAUUUCCCCCUCUGACAGGUGGAGUGCACAGACUCAUCAGCAAUACUGGAUAUUAUCCAUUAUUUCUUUUCUGAAUUAUAAAAGUGAAUAGGUUUCCUGUUAUCUUGUCUAUUUAAUUGCAGUGCCACUAACUGAAGUAUUUGAUGUCAUCUAAAUAUUUGGUAAUUUUAAAAAUCUACUUCUCACACAAUAAAUACACUGAUGUGCCAGUCUGUACCCAGAAUUAACGAACACCUACUGACUGACUUUUCCAGACUUCAUGUCUUUGAGAGAAAUCCCUGGCAAACUGAAAGUUGCUCUAAAAAUGACAAACUCAAAAGCAACCUUCAGACUCUACCCUGAGCCCUCUAGAGACCGUCAAAUGAUCCGCUGAACAUCACAGUUGUUCUGCACUGUCUUUUCUUGAAGCUGUGUGUUUAAAAGUGAUUUCAGAGAAAGGUCAAGCAAUGGGAUCUUGUGAUUUCUGUAACAGCUCUGUGUCUGUGCUAAAGAAAAAAAUCAACCACCAACCAAACACCAGCUAGAGAGGAAGUUGGUGAGGGCUCAAUGCAGUUGCAAGUUCAUUUCUAGCACUUUCAGACUCAGAAAGCACCGCUGCUUCUGGGAAUAAAAAACCCAAGGAUGUUUUAGCAGUUUUGUCCAUUUGUAUUUAGACAAGGGGUUUCUUUUUCCCUUGGGAUUGCAUCCUUACAUCAGUAGCAGCUGGGAGCCUGAGGUGUUCCUGCACUGCUGUGGAAAGGUUAAUGGGAUUGCUGCCAGCUUCACUGUGGAGGAGUAUUCAGAUGCAGCAAGCUCUAGUGCAGCAAAGAACGGAACAGGAUCCUUUCAUGGUCUGGCAGUGGGAGAACAGCCCCGUUGCAGCCCACUGGGAAUGAUGCGGAUGCCGGGAAGCAGCUGACAUCAGUGCAUGCUCCGACACACACCCCAGCCAGCGCCCUCCACCUGGGUCGAGUGCCUGCCCCUCGCUUCCCCUCCAUGGGAAAGAACAGGUUUGCUUCAGCAGUUUUAAAAGCGGCUAGCAGGGUGCUCUGUGGGCAAGAGUGUGUUUUGUUACGGUUUAAUGGCAGCCAGAGGAAGUGGAUGGCUUAGUGGUCUCUGCUAUUCAGCAACUUGCUUCCCUGUUGUACUUGUCACGGAGGUGAAGUUCUUGGUUCCUCCAGAAUUAGUUGCAAGGGUCUCCUCCUGGCUACAGACCCAGAGAAAGGCACAGGGGGUCGUCUUCGAAGAAGGAGGCUUUGCACAGAGCAGCUGCAAGUUUCAGUUAUGAAGGUCAGUUCAGAGAAGACUGAAAAGACAGAAGAUGGGAGCAGAGACAAACGGGCACAAUGAUUUCUGCAUCCUUUGUGUCACUUUGUAGUGACACACCUUAUACGGGACCACCUUACGUAUUCAUACUACAUUUUUAUGAAAAAAAUAUGUUCUGCCACUGAUGCUGGCUUCAGGGGACUAAGGGGGUGCCAAUUAAAGCAGUCAUCAGGACAAACACAAAAGCUUGACUACAAUAGCUGGGGUGAGCAGCAGAAUGUGUCACUGUGGAUCUCGCCUGGACACACUCUGGUGGCAGAUACAGGAGUGGCUGUUAAAUAGUUCCAACACAGGACGGAGGCAACUGAAAAAUGCAUCUCUUAAGGGGGGAAAAGAGCAUGGAUGAGAUGCUGACCUUCAAGACAGUAACUUAAGUGUUUAGGAAAAAUGAGUACCUUAACAAGACUGUUAAAGAUAUAUGGAAGAAAUAAUGCUAUGGGGAGAGAAUAGAAAGGAAAAAAGAAAGAGAAAAGAAUUAACCUGGGAGAUAAAGAAUGGUGAUUAGAAAGUGCAAGACAGUGAGAAUAAAUAGGAUCAGAAGAGACAGCAAAGCGUAUGCAUGUACUUCAUGUUACUGCUUCUUUGUGGCUGUGUAGCUACCCCAGGUGGAGUAAAAAAUUAAUAAGGCAGGAAGAUCAAAAGGAAAAGGAACGGGGUGGGGGGAACAUCCUCUUCGGAAUACGAUUUGCGAUUGUAAUUAAGCUUCUAGCAGUAAUCAGCUGCUUCACCAGCCUGACCUGUUGUAGAGGCAGCGCCGGAGUGCCCAGACUUGCCAGCCCACAGAGCAGUUUAUGUGCCAACAUGUAAAUGACACCCUCACAUUGUGAAGAUCCUUACUCGCUCCAUGUGAAAACAUGUGUAAACGUUAUUUUUAAGAAGUGGCUAUAGCAGCUUCCUUCCAUCUCAACUCAGCAAUCCUCGCCGGCCGCGCUGAGUUCCCACGCUGCCGGUGCAGCUGCCUGCGCCCCCUCCCCUGGGUGGCCCUGAGUCGUGAUGUGGGUGCCUGGGCUCCCGGCCGUGGCCAGCAGUGCAAGGGAAGGGAAACAGGUGGCUGUGAGUGUGGCAGUUGUCUUAAUUGACGAAGUCUAAGUGGGUCUGCUAUAGCUUAUGGCAGCUGAAACGACCAUUUGCCAGCCGCUGGGCAAACCAGGGCUUCUUAAUGAAGUUCCUCCCACCAAGCGCACACGCAGCGUGGCCACUGGCUGAGGGAAUCUGCUGAAGCCGGCCCCUGUUCCCUUUCUGUCAUGGACCAGAAAGGAGAAGUUAUGGUUAUACCAUCUGCCCCUGCCAAGACAUGUCGGCAAGUUGCUGCCUUGCUUUGGCUGUGAUGUAUUUUUUAGUAUAUGGUGGUUUGCUUUCUAAAUGUUGAGAAAACUGACUUGGCACUUCCUGCAGCUGAACAGAGAACGUCUGAUCUACCUGCAGAGGUGCUGGCACAUGCAUGAGAAAUAAGGCACGCUUCUUGUGACUUGCCAAGCUGCUAAGUAAUAACGUGACAGAGAGAUCUGGUAACAAUAAUGAGAACCCCAUUUUGUUUCUGAACAAAAGACACUAUUGAAAACCUGUCUCGCAUGAAUAUUAUUUACAUACGUUUAUGCUGAACCCAACCCCACCCCACAGCAGUGCUGUGUCAAAGAGGAAAAAUCAAACGUUCAAGACAAAGCUAAAGAUGAAACAGAUUUAAACUAUGAUAGAUUUAACUUGGACUCAUUUACAAUUAUGUGGCACUGCAUUUCUCUAACUGUAUACAGACUGGAUUUAUUAUGGGGCCUGUGUUGUCUUCAAGGGCUUCUGGCAAAGCUGGAGACAACUGGAGAGAAACUACUGCUGCCUCCCCUCUGCCAGGAAACAUCGUCCUAAAGCACAGGGGCUGGCCUGCAAGGAGCACGCAGAAAGCUUCGCUGCAGCUUCAGACAGGAUUUUAGAGCUGCCUUCAGCCGGCCAAACCCUCAGGAAGCCCUGAGUGGCCUUACAAAGGAUAAAUCCCUGUUUUGUCAAGACAGAGUGGUUUUUAUUUACUCCAAGGAGGCAUAACCAGUGCUUCUCUACGACAACAAAAGGGUGAGUCUGAUCCCAUGACCAAAACAGUAUUCCUCAAACAUGUCAUCAUUCAGAGAUGUUAAAAAGCCAGGCUUUCUGAAAAGCAUAAUUUACUGGCUGUAAGCUUGUAUAGGAAAUUCCAGUAUAACAUUACAGUACGUAACAAAAAUAUCCGCCAAAGGAGCAGAGUUAGUUGGGCUUUGAUACCUUUUGAAUGUGCGGGUUUGUAAUCUACAGCUGGGUAUGAGCAAUGGUGGGUACCUGGAAUUUUUACAGCGUUUUCGGUGGAGCUGAUACAGCCCGUGGCCUGCUGCUACCCCACCUGAGCUCUGUGUUCCCCAUCGUGUCCUCGUCUCCUGAGCAAACGGUUUUUCCUCCCAAAGCCUCGCACCUCCUGGCUGGUCCCAGUGCUGCCUGCCACGGGGCGGGCAGAGAAGGGCUGGUCAGGGAGCCUGGUGACAUUGCUGCCUCCUGCCCCUGCCAUCCCUGUCUCUUGCUUGAAUGUCCUUGAAUGUCCGUGUUCCCUUCCCCGAGCCAGCGCCGCGGACAGCCUGAGCCACACACACAUCUGAACGCUCCCUGUACCUGGCUACUAGUUUGGGCUCUCCCGGGAUUUGACUACCGGCUAUCAAAACUCCAGCUAAAAUUAGAAGAGAACUUAGGUGUUCAGAUUUCAUUGUUUCUGGUAUAAAUGAUGCUGAAGGUCUAAUCUUACUCCACUAACAACUUCUGCUGAUUUCACCGCUGGUUGUGGAACACCCGCUAGCCAUGGCGGGCGCGCUGGCUGCCUCGCAAGCUGAGAUCGCGAUGCCCUACGCCAUGCCACGCAUCGGAGAGGAACGAGUGAGGACUUCCCUGAGGUACGAGGGACAAACAGUGGGUCCAGCCGUGCCCGUGGCCCACAGAGAAAACAGGGUCGGGUGGGUGGCGGGUGGUGUCCGGGCUCACGCUGCGAGUGGGUUACAGUGCACCGAAGGCAGCUCUGGCUGGGGGGGGGGGGGGGUCCUGCCGAGGGGCACACGCCGGGCACCGCAAGCUUGACCCAAGGGCUAUGUGGGUUUCCCAGCGCGCUGUGCCCGAACGCAGCCGACAGCCCCUGCGGCCCCGCUCCCCCCACCGUGCUGGGACAGCCGCACGGCCCGAGCGGAGUUGUUCCCCCCGCCCCGGGCUGCCCCCCGCCCGCACGGGGGGCCCGGAGCCUUACGGGGGGCACGGCCGGCGCCCCCGGCCCCCCAGACCCCCACCCCCCCCG